ACUCAUUCUGAACAGGCCUGAAGCCGGGAAGUCGUAUUUCUUUGGGAAAAUGGAUACAGCAAAGGAGCUAUUACAUCAAAUUUACCAACAUAAACAUAAACCAAAGUGCGGAGGGGCAUCAUCAGACGUGGACUUUUACUUUGUAGCCUGGGCAGUGAUGUUGCUGAUGGAGCCAGCUUCCUUUUAGCAGCCUCUACCAAUGAAUCCCGUGCAAAUAGGGAAGCAAACAGUUAAUACAACUAUGUACUUCUUAAGAGCAGUCCAACACAGGUUGGUCUGUUGUUAGCCGACAGGGUACUAAUCGGCCUGCUGUAAGUUAAUUAGUUCCAAUUGGCCACCAGAUGACUGACUGUAUUAUUUCAAAAAAACUGCGUAAUAUUUCUGAAAAUUAAUUAAAAAUGUAUAGUUUAAAAAAAUUAGCACUAUUUAGACCGGUCGAGCCCUUGUGCUUAGGCGAGGUGGGACUAAACCCAGCUCUCACACAAACGGAGAAGUUCAAAAUAAUCAUGCAAUGAAACAACGCUUUGCCGAGAGCCAAGUCACGGGCUCCCGGCAAAGCCUAGCCACUGUCACCGAGCCGUCAACCACUACUGGACUUGCCACAGGCACCUCUUUGCCGUGGGUACACUGUUUGGUUCUCGGCGUACAGAGCGAUUGCCGAGUUGCCUCCUUUUACCGAGUGUUCUUUACAAAUUGUCUUGGUACAUGCCUGUGUUUGCCGUGCAGCAUCUAAUGCCGAGCAAGACUCGCGGCUUACGUCGUUUUGCCGAGCGCUUGUGUCUUGGUUCUCGGCAAAGAGCCGAACACUUGGCGUAGAGUGAAAUUCCAGUAGUGCACACAACUGGAUGCAUGACUUCAUUUCUAAAACUAUGCAUUAUCCUUGAAUGAAACGAGUGUCAUGUAAAUGGUAUGCACAAGAAGGCCAGAACUCUCAGCAUCAUGUCUGUGUGCGAUUGUUCUCAUGAAUCCUGGUACCUUCCAUCCCUAAACCAGUUAUCUUGUUGGAAAUCCAGUAGUUGAUAGUUCUCACUCAUAGAAAGCCUAAGAUCAACAAGGAAGAGGGAACUGGAUUGGACUUUAGCCCGUGGAUAUUGUAAGCCUAGUACAGUACGUACUACGUACGUAAGAAGGGAGGAAAGCAAGGCCGGUGUAUAUAUAGGCAGAGACAGCUAAGAUGCUAGGGUUGUACUAGGGGCAACACAUUUAUUUUAUUUAUUUCUGAAGGACAACAUGAGCACGGCCACAACAACCAGUCUGAUUAAACACAAGAUAAUGCGCUGCCGAAUUACGACCAAGAAUUUACAAAUACUUCUUAAAUACCCACUAAACAGACUACUGGUGAACAAUCUCCAUGACAGUUUUAUCUUUGGAAGAUUCCAAAUUCAGUUUUUUUUACGUGAAGAGCUCUGCCUUUGCAUUAUAGGAGAAAAGAAGUCACAAGUCAUACAAUAACGGGUGGACAACCCAGGGCAAAUAACAGGUCAUACACCCACUCGACCACACAGCCUAAAAAAGAUGCUACGGGUGGACUACAUCACUCGCCCAGAAUGGUUGCCCCUCUCGUGGCCUCAUUGAAACACCGGAUGUCGUCGUUGAUAAGCCUUGUCAGCGCAAGCGCCGUCAGCUCCUUGCGCUCGAAAACUCUCCGGUCCUCUCCUUCCACAGGUUCCAUACGAUGUAUGCUCCCAGUGUGAUCUCCUCCUUGCUUUUUUCUCUCGUUUCCCUGACAAUGCACAACUGAUCCCACCAUUCUGUAAUGGAUUGCGCCGCAGCGGCCGCAAAUUCAGUUUCAAAGGAAGACAUGCAUUGUAGUUACAUAUCACUCAUUCUGAACAGGUCUGAAUCCGGGAAGUCGUAUUUCUUUGGGAAAAUGGAUAUAGCAAAGGAGCUAUUACAUCAAAUUUAUCAACAUAAACAUAAACCGAAGAGCAGAGGGGCAUCAUCAGACGCAGACUUUUACUUCGUAGCCUGGGCAAUGAUGUUACUGAUGGAGCCACCUUCCUCUUUAGCAGCCUCUACCAACGAAUCCUGUGG
rnacentral:lncRNA from 1 species